UACGUAGGGGGCUAGCGUUGUCCGGAAUCAUUGGGCGUAAAGAGCGUGUAGGCGGCCCGGUAAGUCCGCUGUGAAAGUCGGGGGCUCAACCCUCGAAUGCCGGUGGAUACUGUCGGGCUAGAGUGCGGAAGAGGCGAGUGGAAUUCCUGGUGUAGCGGUGAAAUGCGCAGAUAUCAGGAGGAACACCGAUUGCGAAGGCAGCUCGCUGGGACGUAACUGACGCCUGGAGACGCGAAAGCGUGGGGAGCAAACAGG
rnacentral:rRNA from 1 species